rnacentral:ncRNA from 1 species
CAACAAGACGUGAGACCCUUUAUUAGACUGACACUAUUAGUGUAGGAAGGAAAGGACUAAAACAGGUCAGUUAUGCCCUCUGACAUUUUGGGCAGCACGCGCAAUACAAUAGACUUUAAUCUUUAUGGGAUAAUAUUUUGUAAGAGAUAUUUGAACUUGGAAUUGCUAGUAAAUUUUAUUAAAUAAGUAGAAUUGAAUGUGUCCCUGUUCUUUGUACACACCGCCCGUCGCUAUCUAAGAUGAUAUGUGUUGUGAAAUUAGUGCAAGCUACUUGAACAAUAUGUAUUAGAUCUGAUAUAAGUCGUAACAUGGUUGCUGUUGGAGAACCAUUAGCAGGAUCAUAA